CACGAGUUUGAUCCUGGCUCAGAUUGAACGCUGGCGGAAUGCUUUACACAUGCAAGUCGAACGGGUAGAGGGGGGCAACCCCUUGAGAGUGGCGAACGGGUGAGUAAUAUAUCGGAACGUGCCCAGUCGUGGGGAUAACGUAGAGAAAUUUACGCUAAUACCGCAUACGAUCUAAGGAUGAAAGCGGGGGAUUCGCAAGAACCUCGCGCGAUUGGAGCGGCUGAUAUCAGAUUAGGUUGUUGGUGAGGUAAAAGCUCACCAAGCCGACGAUCUGUAGCUGGUUUGAGAGAACGACCAGCCACACUGGGACUGAGACACGGCCCAGACUCCUACGGGAGGCAGCAGUGGGGAAUUUUGGACAAUGGGCGAAAGCCUGAUCCAGCAAUGCCGCGUGCAGGAUGAAGGCCUUCGGGUUGUAAACUGCUUUGUACGGAACGAAACGGUGAGCUCUAAUACAGUUUGCUAAUGACGGUACCGUAAGAAUAAGCACCGGCUAACUACGUG
rnacentral:rRNA from 1 species